rnacentral:rRNA from 1 species
ACCUUCGGGUGUCAGCGGCAGACGGGUGAGUAACACGUGGGAACGUGCCCUUUGGUUAGGAACAACUCCGGGAAAGUGGAGUUAAUACCGGAUAAGCCCUUCGGGGGAAAGAUUUAUCGCCAAAGGAUCGGCCCGCGUCUGAUUAGCUAGUUGGUAGGGUAACGGCCUACCAAGGCGACAAUCAGUAGAUGGUCUGAGAGGAUGAUCAGCCACACUGGGACUGAGACACGGCCCAGACUCCUACGGGAGGCAGCAGUGGGGAAUAUUGGACAAUGGGCGAAAGCCUGAUCCAGCCAUGCCGCGUGAGUGAUGAAGGCCCUAGGG